rnacentral:rRNA from 1 species
ACAACACCCGCCCCCCCUCCAAAUCCUAUUAUUUACCCGGUGAUUGUUUGUUUGGUUUUAGGUUGGGGUGACCGCGGAGUAUAAGAUAUCCUCCAUGAAAAAAAGCUAACUGCCCUUAUUAGAGAAAGACACUUCCAAAAAAUAAUAAAUUAAUUUUAAAUGAUCCGACAUUCGAUCAACGAACCAAGUUACCCUGGGGAUAACAGCGCAAUCCGUCCCGAGAGCCCCUAUCGACAGGCGGGUUUACGACCUCGAUGUUGGAUCAGGGUAUCCCAGUGGUGCAGCAGCUACUAAAGGUUCGUUUGUUCAACGAUUAAAACCCU